GAUGAACGCUGGCGGCGUGCCUAAUACAUGCAAGUCGAGCGAACAGACGAGGAGCUUGCUCCUCUGACGUUAGCGGCGGACGGGUGAGUAAAACGUGGAUAACCUACCUAUAAGACUGGGAUAACUUCGGGAAACCGGAGCUAAUACCGGAUAAUAUAUUGAACCGCAUGGUUCAAUAGUGAAAGACGGUUUUGCUGUAACUUAUAGAUGGAUCCGCGCCGCAUUAGCUAGUUGGUAAGGUAACGGCUUACCAAGGCGACGAUGCGUAGCCGACCUGAGAGGGUGAUCGGCCACACUGGAACUGAGACACGGUCCAGACUCCUACGGGAGGCAGCAGUAGGGAAUCUUCCGCAAUGGGCGAAAGCCUGACGGAGCAACGCCGCGUGAGUGAUGAAGGUCUUCGGAUCGUAAAACUCUGUUAUUAGGGAAGAACAAAUGUGUAAGUAACUAUGCACGUCUUGACGGUACCUAAUCAGAAAGCCACGGCAACUACGUG
rnacentral:rRNA from 1 species